rnacentral:rRNA from 1 species
GACGAACGCUGGCGGCGUGCUUAACACAUGCAAGUCGAACGGAAAGGCCCUGCUUUUGUGGGGUGCUCGAGUGGCGAACGGGUGAGUAACACGUGAGUAACCUGCCCUUGACUUUGGGAUAACUUCAGGAAACUGGGGCUAAUACCGGAUAUGAGCUCCUGCUGCAUGGUGGGGGUUGGAAAGUUUCGGCGGUUGGGGAUGGACUCGCGGCUUAUCAGCUUGUUGGUGGGGUAGUGGCUUACCAAGGCUUUGACGGGUAGCCGGCCUGAGAGGGUGACCGGCCACAUUGGGACUGAGAUACGGCCCAGACUCCUACGGGAGGCAGCAGUGGGGAAUAUUGCACAAUGGGCGGAAGCCUGAUGCAGCAACGCCGCGUGAGGGAUGACGGCCUUCGGGUUGUAAACCGCUUUCGCCUGUGACGAAGCGUGAGUGACGGUAAUGGGUAAAGAAGCACCGGCUAACUACGUG